GAGUUAGAGAAACCUGGGUAGUGAUGGAGCAUAUUAAGGGUGGAUCACUGGACAAGUAAUUUUAUAUCUGUGAUGCAGAGGUAAGUAAUAGUACUCGACGUAAAAGGAUGUGGUGAGAAAUGUAUUUAGAACACGAAUGUAGUAUCUAGCACGCGCUAAAUGUGCAAUGUCAGCUAUCACAACUGUUCCUAUUUAAAAGGCGUUCCUAUUUAAAAUAUUCCCUGUUUAAAAGGUGGCUCAGGCUUGCAGAAGGGAGGGCAUGAACUCAGAGCUCGAGUUCAAAAGCAAAUUAUGAUGCAUAUUUG
rnacentral:lncRNA from 1 species